GAGCUCAUGUUGGCAGCACAUAUAUGAAAAUUGGAACAGUACAGAGAUUAGCAUGAUCCCUGAACAAGGAUGACAUGCAGAUUUCAUGAGGCAUUUUAUAUUUUU